rnacentral:misc_RNA from 1 species
CACUCUUGACAUUGAAGGAAAGCUCUAGAGAUAGAGCCCUCUCUCACAAGGAGACCUGAAAACAGAUGUUGCAUGGCUGUCGUCAGCUCGUGCCGUGAGGUGUACGGUUAAGUCCGCCAACGAGCGCAACCCUCGUUCUGUGUUACCAGCGAGUAAAGUCGGGCACUCACAGGAGACCGCCGGUGUAAGCCGGAGGAAGGUGGGGAUGACGUCACUUA